rnacentral:rRNA from 1 species
UACAGAGGUGGCAAGCGUUGUUCGGAAUUACUGGGCGUAAAGGGCGCGUAGGCGGCCUGCUAAGUCGAACGUGAAUCCCCGAGCUCAACUCGGGAACUGCGUCCGAUACUGGCAGGCUUGAAUCCGGGAGAGGGAUGCGGAAUUCCAGGUGUAGCGGUGAAAUGCGUAGAUAUCUGGAGGAACACCGGUGGCGAAGGCGGCAUCCUGGACCGGCAUUGACGCUGAGGCGCGAAAGCCAGGGAGCAAAGCGGG